rnacentral:rRNA from 1 species
UAGGGAAUCUUCCGCAAUGGACGCAAGUCUGACGGAGCAACGCCGCGUGAGUGAAGAAGGAUUUCGGUUCGUAAAACUCUGUUGUUAGAGAAGAACAGCGCAUAGAGUAACUGUUAUGCGUGUGACGGUAUCUAACCAGAAAGCCACGGCUAACUACGUGCCAGCAGCCGCGGUAAUACGUAGGUGGCAAGCGUUGUCCGGAUUUAUUGGGCGUAAAGCGAGCGCAGGCGGUCAAUUAAGUCUGAUGUGAAAGCACCCGGCUCAACCGGGGAGGGUCAUUGGAAACUGGUUGACUUGAGUGCAGAAGAGGAGAGUGGAAUUCCAUGUGUAGCGGUGAAAUGCGUAGAUAUAUGGAGGAACACCAGUGGCGAAGGCGACUCUCUGGUCUGUAACUGACGCUGAGGCUCGAAAGCGUGGGUAGCAAACAGG